GACGAACGCUGGCGGCGUGCUUAACACAUGCAAGUCGAACGGAAAGGCCCUGCUUUUGUGGGGUGCUCGAGUGGCGAACGGGUGAGUAACACGUGAGUAACCUGCCCUUGACUUUGGGAUAACUUCAGGAAACUGGGGCUAAUACCGGAUAGUAGCUCCUGCUGCAUGGUGGGGGUUGGAAAGUUUCGGCGGUUGGGGAUGGACUCGCGGCUUAUCAGCUUGUUGGUGGGGUAGUGGCUUACCAAGGCUUUGACGGGUAGCCGGCCUGAGAGGGUGACCGGCCACAUUGGGACUGAGCUACGGGCCAGACUCCUACGGGAGGCAGCAGUGGGGAAUAUUGCACAAUGGGCGGAAGCGUGAUGCAGCAACGCCGCGUGCGGGAUGACGGCCUUCGGGUUGUAAACCGCUUUCGCCUGUGACGAAGCGUGAGUGACGGUAAUGGGUAAAGAAGCACCGGCUAACUACGUG
rnacentral:rRNA from 1 species